UGUGGGAGCGAGCUUGCUCGCGAUAGCGGUCUUUCAUUCAGUAUCAAUGCUGACUGAAAGGGCCUCAUCGCGAGCAAGCUCGCUCCCACA
rnacentral:misc_RNA from 1 species